AGUGAACGCUGGCGGUAGGCCUAACACAUGCAAGUCGAACGGCAGCACAGUAAGAGCUUGCUCUUACGGGUGGCGAGUGGCGGACGGGUGAGGAAUACAUCGGAAUCUACUUUUUCGUGGGGGAUAACGUAGGGAAACUUACGCUAAUACCGCAUACGACCUACGGGUGAAAGCAGGGGAUCUUCGGACCUUGCGCGAUUGAAUGAGCCGAUGUCGGAUUAGCUAGUUGGCGGGGUAAAGGCCCACCACGGCGACGAUCCGUAGCUGGUCUGAGAGGAUGAUCAGACACACGGGAAGUGAGACACGGUCCAGACUCCUACGGGAGGCAGCAGUGGGGAAUAUUGGGCAAUGGGCGCAAGCCUGAUCCAGCAAUACCGCGUGGGUGAAGAAGGCCUUCGGGUUGUAAAGCCCUUUUGUUGGGAGAGAAAAGCAGCAGGUUAAUACCCCGCUGUUCUGACGGUACCCAAAGAAUAAGCACCGGCUAACUUCGUG
rnacentral:rRNA from 1 species